GUUGUGACUUACAUGAUUUAAAGAUGGUAUAUGAAAGGCAAGCAUCUGAUCAGAACUGAAGAAACACUAUUAUUUCAUGUGUAGAAUUUAUAAGUAUAGAGACCUAACUGUACAGGAGACCAUCAGUGUUAUUACUCAGUACAAGGACCUCAAACCUGUUAUGGAUUCGUAUGUUUUUAAUGAUGGCUCAUCUAGGGAGCUGAUGAGCCUCAGUGGAACCAUUCCUGUGCCUUAUAGAG